GAGUUUGAUCUUGGCUCAGAACGAACGCUGGCGGCAUGCCUAACACAUGCAAGUCGAACGAAGUCUUCGGACUUAGUGGCGCACGGGUGCGUAACGCGUGGGAAUCUGCCCUUGGGUACGGAAUAACUCAGAGAAAUUUGUGCUAAUACCGUAUAAUGUCUUCGGACCAAAGGUUUAUCGCCCAAGGAUGAGCCCGCGUAAGAUUAGCUAGUUGGUGAGGUAAGAGCUCACCAAGGCGACGAUCUUUAGCUGGUCUGAGAGGAUGAUCAGCCACACUGGGACUGAGACACGGCCCAGACUCCUACGGGAGGCAGCAGUGGGGAAUAUUGGACAAUGGGCGAAAGCCUGAUCCAGCAAUGCCGCGUGAGUGAUGAAGGCCUUAGGGUUGUAAAGCUCUUUUACCCGGGAUGAUAAUGACAGUACCGGGAGAAUAAGCUCCGGCUAACUCCGUGCCAGCCGCCGCAGUAAC
rnacentral:rRNA from 1 species